AUGGUAAACCCCUCCUCCCUCCGGGUGCCCCUGGGUUGCCCACCACUGCUCCCAGACCUCCUAACAGCAUCUUACCAUCAUUCUGCUUCCAUCGUACAAUUUACCAUCAACUCAGGCACCUGGAUAUCCAGGUGGACAAGGCCUCUACCCUGCGGGCCCUCGCUCCCGUCCUUCCUUCCCUGCCCUGUCCACACAUCGCCUGCCUUGUGCCACCCGCGCUCUCUGUCUUCUCCUGCUCUCCGAUCACCCCUUCCUCCCCUGAGACCUUGUCCCCUUUAUUCCACUGACUCUGGAGCCUUGCUAGCCCCCAUUCUCUCCAUGUGGCCCACGCCCACAGCUCCUUCACGGCCUUGUGUCCUUCCCCUUACUCCAGGGCCUGGAACUUCAGCCACUCUUCUGACAUUGCUCUAAACCGACGGCCUACGAAUUGAUCUCAUAAUUGCACGUCCAACGCUUGAAACAAGAAAUACAACCGACUGCCCCUCUCUGACAUCCCUUCCUCCCUUUCUUCCUUCCUUUUUUUUUUUUUUUAAGAUUUAUUUAUUUACUUAUGAUAGACACAGAGAGAGAGAGGCAGAGACACAGGCAGAGGGAGAAGCAGGCUCCAUGCAGGGAGCCCAACGUGGGACUCGAUCCCGGGUCUCCAGGGUCGUGCCCUAGGCCAAAGGCAGGCACUAAACCGCUGAGCCACCCAGGGAUCCGUUCUUCCUUCCUUAGGAAAUUGCAUACAUUUUACUACUGGACUGACAUGUCUUCAUUUUAAAACAUUCCACAAAAAAUAGGAAGGCACAAAUGGCAAGAUCUCCAACGACCAAUGGAGUGAGGGCGUCCGCGCUGUCUGCGCAUUCCCGGAGGAAAGCGGGACAUGGCCCCCCAGGUGUGCACACCCCCGUUCGGGAGCCACCGUCCGAGCCCUGUCGCCCUCCGUCACAUCCACCCCGCCAACCAAACCUGAGCCCACCUCGUCGCAAGUGUCCCCGCGGCUGUGGACGACGGAGCCCCGGGGCCCUCCCCAGGCUUAGCCUCUCUCCUGGCAGGGGGGCGCUGAGGGCCUCGCAGGUAAAGUCAAGCCCCUUGGCAGGAAAACCUUCAUCUUUGUGACACCAGCACCCAGCACAGUGCCUGACACUAGCCUGGGGCCCCCUGGUGUUUGUCACGCUGAACGGUGUACCCGCGUGCCAUGCCCACUACUCUGGCUGCGGUGUUGCAAAGGGGUGAAGAAAGCGAAAACAGUGCAGCGGGUCAGCAGGUGCCCCCAGCUGGGCGCCUGCCUGGUUCCGAUGCCGGGUGAGGAUCACCUGCCCUCCCAGCUCCUGUCUGCGCACUGACCCCAGCAGCAGACUGGCCUUCAGAAGCCAGACAUGUCACUGCUGCCCCAGCCUGACUUGGGCCACGCAUGCCUCAGGCAACUUCACUGAGACCCAUUUCUCCCCUUGCCUGUUCCAAAGGGUGCUAGGGAGGUGGGCAGAGGGCCCCUCCAGACUGGCUUCUCUUCCCCCACAGGCUUGGAGCAGCCGGGGCUCAGAGCCCCACUGUAGCACCAUUUCCUUCACACUCCCCCUCAGGGAACGACUCCCGAGCUGUCAGAAGGAAGAGAUAGACAGGAGAGUGACAAAUUUUAAAGGAACGGCCUGGUGGAUGCGAUCUGGGGGGCGGCGGGAUCUAGGCCUGCCUGCUCCAGGAAGCACUGAGCAGAGGUGCUGGCCAGAGCCGGGAGAUGUGCUGGUGACCGAACUGGCCUCCUGUUAGGGAACCCUUCCCUGUCCCUUGCAUGCCACCUGCCACCUGGAGAACGAUUCGUCCCCAGGUAAGCAGGGUCUUAAGAAGGCCACAUGACAACUCCUAUACUUUCUCAGGGGGAUAAAGAUGAUUCGGGCAAAAUUCCCUCCCUGCCUGAAAGUCCUUCCAUCUUCUGUUGCCCCCCCUACCUAGACUGAUGUUUGGUCACCAGGUGUCCAUGGACUGACCCCUACAUCAGAGUCACAGGCCUAUGAGGAAUGCAGAUUCCUGGGCCUGGGGCAGAUCGAGUCAGAAACUCUCAAACUAGAGCCAGAGAACCUGCAUGGCUUUGCCCAUGGAAGUUUGAGGACCACUGAACCUUCUCCUCUGUCCUUCCCAACCAUGCACCCUCAAUCCCCACCCCCUCGCCACUGUAUUCCUCAGGCCCUCAUCAUGAAGCCCAUGGACACACAAAUGGAAGGGCCCAGGCAGGAAUAAAACCCACUGGGCUUUCA
ensembl:lncRNA